CAGCCGCCGCGGUAAUACGAAGGGGGCUAGCGUUGUUCGGAAUUACUGGGCGUAAAGCGCACGUAGGCGGAUAUUUAAGUCAGGGGUGAAAUCCCGCAGCUCAACUGCGGAACUGCCUUUGAUACUGGGUAUCUUGAGUAUGGAAGAGGUUAGUGGAAUUGCGAGUGUAGAGGUGAAAUUCGUAGAUAUUCGGAGGAACACCAGUGGCGAAGGCGGCUCACUGGUCCGGUACUGACGCUGAGGUGCGAAAGCGUGGGGAGCAAACAGGAUUAGAUACCCCGGUAGUCCCUGUCUCUUAUAA
rnacentral:rRNA from 1 species